rnacentral:rRNA from 1 species
AUUGAACGCUGGCGGCAGGCCUAACACAUGCAAGUCGAGCGAGCGGCGGACGGGUGCGUACUGUAUGGGGACUGCACGAUAGAGGGGGAUAACUACUGGAAACGGUAGCUAAUACCGCAUACUAUCGGAUAACCCAUAUGGGAUUAGCUAGUAGGUGGGGUAAUGGCUAACCUAGGCGACUAUCCCUAGCUGGUCUGAGAGGAUGAUCGGCCACACUGGGACUGAGACACGGCCCAGACUCCUACGGAGGCAGCAGUGGGGAAUAUUGCACAAUGGGCGAAAGCCUGAGGCAGCAAUGCCGCGUGUAUGAAGAAGGCCCUAGGGUUGUAAAGUACUUUCAGUCGGGAGGCGUUACCGAAAGAAGAAGCACCGGCUAACUCCGUGCCAGCAGCCGCGGUAAUUC